ensembl:ncRNA asRNA:CR44872 antisense RNA:CR44872
GGUGACAUGAGAUAAAAUAAUGAUGAGAACUACAUUCCACGCUUGCAAGUAGAGAAUACGACUUCAUUUCAUUUGUAACAUUUAUUGAAAUAUUUGUUUAAGCACUUCGAAUCCUAUGUCUUUUCAUAAUACUUGCUUUUUUACAUUUUUGAACAAAGAUACGGAACAUAACAGAAGACCUAAAGGAAAAAGUUGACGAAAACGAAGACAAUGUGUGACAUAUACAUGGAUACACAAGUAGACCGAAGUACAUUUAAAGGCAUUCACGGAAUUCUCGUUACGAACAUACAUAAAUCAAAUCGAGUACUAAACACUGAUAAUAGAAAGAAAAACAAGUAAACCGAAUAUCAAUCAACAUCAAUUAAAAACAAAUUCAGUCCAGUGAUUACUUCUCGUGCUGCGAGUGCAUAACUAUAGCAAAUCCCAGUAAAUUUCAAUGUGGCAUGCCCCUCAUUUCGAAUGGCAUUCCCCAUCCAUUGCUUUUAGAAUACAUAUAUGCGCAGCAGUCGCGAUCAAUUGUUGUAGUUCUGCCUGCCGCCCAGCUCGAGGAGAUAUCGAUCCGGAUGGUCCAUCCAGUCGGCGGCCGUGAGCUUCACUGUCCGCUGCCGUUCGGCCUCCUUGAUUUGCCACUUCUUGAUGUCCAAUUGCACUUCGCGUGAUGAUUUGUCGCCGCAGCCCCACACCUGCGGAUGAGAUCGAAGAAAAGAUGGCGAGCAACGUGUAGUUCUUGUUGUUGGUUGACUGUUGUUGGGUAUGGAGAAUCGUAGACUUAGUUUAAAUGCAUCGCUAGAGCACACACCUGGCCAUUUGGAGCCAUACGUGUGCUGUUUUUAACAGCUUAGACUGGAGAUAAUGCCGUUUAUAACGAUAUACGUCUAUGAAUUUUACACUAUAUACCAUAUAUGCAUAUACACAUAUAUAACAUAUACCCUGUUGAAUAAGGCUUAUUGUACAUGAAUGCGAUUAAAGUACAGAGAAAUAUUCG